AUUGAACGCUGGCGGCAGGCCUAACACAUGCAAGUCGAACGAGUGGCGGACGGGUGAGUAAUGUCUGGGAAACUGCCUGAUGGGGGGGGAUAACUACUGGAAACGGUAGCUAAUACCGCAUACCAUCGGAUGUGCCCAGAUGGGAUUAGCUAGUAGGUGGGGUAACGGCUCACCUAGGCGACGAUCCCUAGCUGGUCUGAGGGGAUGACCAGCCACAUUGGAAAUGAGACACGGCCCAGACUCCUACGGGAGGCAGCAUUGGGGAAUAUUGCACAAUGGGCGCAAGCCUGAUGCAGCCAUGCCGCGUGGAUGAAGAAGGCCUUCGGGUUGUAAAGUAUUUUCAGCGGGGAGGCGUUACCCGCACAAGAAGCACCGGCUAACUUCGUGCCAGCAGCCGCGGUAAUAC
rnacentral:rRNA from 1 species